CAUUUCUUUUCCUCAGCACAGCCGCUUGAAUAAAGUUGUCUUUUCAACUCUGCUCGAAUUAAAGCAUUUUAAAUGAUCGUGUGCAAGGGAAAUAACGUAGCACUGGCUGCUGCUUGGAAAAAUAAAACAAAAAAUUUCUCAAAUUUUACUGAAUUGCUAUGAACAACCUAUCGCACGUGUUGCUGCGAUAAGUUAGAAUGCAGUAUCCACGUGUUGAAUACUUGGAUGGUUUCCUAUAUUGCUCAUUAUGAUUUUGAGCUGGCGCACAGACUGAUCCUAAUCUAGAGUAUCUUCUAAGAUGUAUCAUUCAUAGGCUGGACUAUGCUAUAGAUCAGCAAGAAGAAUAAUAAUCGACUCAAGGUCAAACUGAACGAAGAGAAUAAAUUUCAAUUGCAGCAAUGCAGCAUAAAGGCUUCAUAGAGUUUCCUUAAUCUACGAUAAGACGAUUCCUGAGUCUGAAUAAACAAUUAAUUCAAAAGUGAACGUCCGUCUUCAAGCUGGAAUUUUGGAAUGUUACUAAACCUUCUCUAAUAUACCAAAUAAAUGUACACCUGUGGAUUACCUUGAAUGAAAUUCUAAAAUAUUGUACAAACCAAAACUUGAAUAAAACUACAUGAAAUGUAUUUAUUAU